UCCCUGGUGGUCCAGUGGCUAAGACUCUGUGCUCUCAAUGCGGGGGACCCAGGUUCGAACUCUGGUCAGGGAA